rnacentral:rRNA from 1 species
CAUGCAGGCGGUGCGGUAAGUUGGGUGUGAAAUCUCCCGGCUCAACUGGGAGAGGUCAUUCAAUACUACCGUACUCGAGAGCAGGAGAGGAAGAUGGAAUUCCCGGUGUAGCGGUGAAAUGUGUAGAGAUCGGGAGGAACACCGGUGGCGAAGGCGGGUCUCUGGGCAUUUCCUGACGCUGAGGCGCGAAAGCGUGGGGAGCAAACG